CUUAUACUCAACUCCGUCCCAAAAUUCUUGUCUUAGAUUUGUUUAGAUACGGAUGUAUCAAGUUGAUACAUCCGUAUCUAGACAAAUUUAAGACAAGAAUUUUGGGACGGAGGGAGUACAUU
rfam:Triticum aestivum genome assembly, contig: Triticum_aestivum_CS42_TGACv1_scaffold_513188_6BS